GGCCGCGUGGCCUAAUGGCUAAGGCGCUAGAUUUCGGUUCACCGACUUCAAAGUUCUCUAGAGAUUCCAGUUUCGAAUACUGGCGUGGUCG